rnacentral:lncRNA from 1 species
GCCACUGCCGAUAUGGUUGGUUGGAGAAUGUUCUUGUUUUGCGGAGAUGAGGGCUGAAGUAGGUUUCAAGUUUUGUGAUGUCUGCCCCCUAUUUUUGGAUGGUUUGACAGAGGGGAAGUGUGUGCAUGUGCAUAUUCAGAGAGGGGGAAGGGUGAAGUGGAUGUGAAGAGGCAUUAAUGGUCAUUGAAUCUAGAUGUUCAUAGUAUGGUUCUUUUUGGUAGAUUUGAAAUUCUUAAAAAUGAGGGAAGAAAACCCAAUAGUAAUAAGUGGUAAAUUGGGGCUCAGUUUCCGUGGCCCCUCCUAUCUCCCAGACUUCCCAAGGAGGAGUCCCUGAGAUGGCAGCCUUUAUAUUUUCCAUGAGCACAUAGAACUGGAUUGAGAAUCUACCCUGAGUCCCCCAGACACGCACACUUCUUCCUUCAAACUCUUUUUCCAGAACUGAACUUGCUCAUUUAUGAUGUUCUUCUUAGGUCCAAGCCCAACUCUGCCUUCUUAAUGAAAUUUCUUUAUUGGUACUGAGUGCCUUGGAAACGAGAAGUGCAUUUCAGGCUGUUACCGAAGGUCUUUUCAUCUCUCCCCAAUCUCUGUUGCUUGUCAGGAGAUAUUUCCACUCUCUCCUUGGCCAGGGAGUUCAGGAAUUAAGAAGGAGAAUGAAGCCUGCCUCCCCUAUGGGAGCCGCCAUCAAGAAAUGACUCUGCCCUCACAGUGGUGGCCUUUCCUGAUCAACAGCAAAUCUGUGUCCUUUGGCUUUUGAUUUGCCCUGUGUUCUCCCAGCUCAACUGACCUUUGAGGCAGGGCCAGUUCCCUUUACACUGAAGUGAUUGAUGGCUGCUGUGCGUAUCUUCACUCACUGCCUCCCAUAGCGCUCCUUUCUCCCCUGCCUACCUCCUCUGUCCACAGGCCUGGUAUUCAGUUCCCAUAAUUUGUUCGCAGAACUUUGCAUCUUUAUCUCUCAGGUUCAAAUGUGAAUGGACCUGAGGAAGCUCAGCAUUGCCAAAAGGCUGAAGGGCAUGCCUAACGAAUGUGAGAAACUGUGAGAACCAGGCAGAGGAGCCAGAGGAGAGGUGCGCACCUGAGCUGGAUGAGCUGGAUGAAGGAGUGGCCAGGUGACUUCAUUAACCUCUCCAGGUGCAUAAUAAUUCCUCCCCGAGGGCAGGUGGUGGAGCAUGCUAGAUAACAGAAUAGAACCCAGAAUCCCAGCUCUGCUGCACGCUAGCUGUGUGACUGCAGGCCAGUUACUUAACUUCUCUCUGCCUUAGUUUCCUCAUCUGUAGAGGGUUGUUGUGAGGGUUAAAUAAAUUGAUAAUAGAUAGAAAGUGCUUAAAACAAGACUUGGCACAUCAUCAGCACUCUGUUGAUGGCAGCCACCAUCAUUAUUACAAAGAAUUUUCAUAUCCUCAUUUGGCCAUCAUCCCAGUAAUCAAUUCUAGGUAAUCAACAGCAUUUAUUUUGUGAGUAAAGGAAACUAAUGGCGACUUAACUAAAAUCAAGAUGGAACUAGUAUUUAAGCCCAGGUCUUCCUACCUUAAGUCCCAGUAGGUCUCAUCCUGGUCACCAGACACUGCAGAGGAGGAAAAAAUAAUUUUCCCUCUACCCUUUAUGGUGAGUGUCUGGCUGAGACCCCUUUUUCUCCAGGGCACCUGGUAAAUGGAUAAGCUUAUCUAGGCUGAAAGUCUCCACUGUGGCCACUGUAAUUCAAUCUUGUCUUUGAUAAGGUUAACCUGCUUGUUCAGACUUAAAACAAAAUUUUAUUCACCUGAAGCCUCACCCUGGCUCCGGUCCAACUUAAGUCAGAGCCAGUCCGGCUUUUAAGUCAGACCCGGUUCUACUCCUGGCCCUUUUGGAUCCACUCUAGAAGAAGAAACGCUCAGUCUUAAAGCUCAUAAUGGCAAAAGCCACAGAGCUGGGAUCCAGGAUGCUAGAGACGUGCCCAGCAACUCUGGAGGCAGCGAGAAACCAGCGAGUGCAAGGCCCUCAGCAGGUGAUGGUGGGCGAGCUUCCCAGGCCUGCUGGAACAAAAUACCACAAACUGGGCGGCUUCAGGCCCCAGAAAUGUAUCCAUCCGCAGUUCUGGAGGCUGGACGUCUGACAUGAAGGCGCUGACAGGGACCUACAGGGAUCGUAUACUGAAUGAUUAAAAGUUGUUAAAACCCCAGAUGAUUGAACCUACUGAUUAAGUAACUGCAUGGAUGUCCAAGUCAAUUAACAGGGCUCUGAUGGUCGCCAAGUGUUAUAACCCUGGACUGGAAAGGCAAGGGAUUUAUUCAAGCUGGAGUGCUUCUCAUGCUUCUUCUACCAGAGCUUGAUCUGAGCCAAGUCUUGAUUAACCAUGACCUCAUCUUCAUCAUUGACAUCGUGGGACUGCAACCUUCUGACCACCUCCAUCCAUGGCCAUUUGAGGACCAUCAUAGAUGGCACAGGAUGUAUUACAGUAUGAACUCUCUGGAGUAUUCAGAAAACUAUAAAUGACUACAAAGCCUUUUCUUUCAAUCCAAGACUUUAAAAUUGCUGCAAAAUAAGAUGUCAAGUAGAGGGAUUGAGAUGAGUUCAGCUUUCUGUCUGAUGAUACGGUUGCUCAAUUUGGUAAGGCCAAGUCUAGAAAUGGUAGUAAGGGUAAUGUCUCAAUCACUCUACUCAGACCCCAACUUGGAGUUAAUGAGUAUCUCUGGGGUUGAAGGUCAGAAUCAUUACUUUAUUACUGAUGUAUUUGAGCUUAUCUCAAGAGAAUGAGCAGACUGGUGGCAGGCACUAGAAUCUUGAACCCCAUCCAAGUCUACACUGAUCUUAAAAGUUCCAGUUCCAAAGUUACCAGUUCUCUAAUGGGAGAGACAAUCCUAAAACCCAGUCCCAGUAGUCUGUUAGAAUUAUAGGGAGUCAUAUAGCUCUUCAAAGCCAUGUGUCGGUAACUGGCUCAACUAGUGGUGAGCUUCCCAUCCCUGGAGAUAUUCAAGCAGAGGCAGGAAGGUCAUCUGUCAAGUAGGCCAUGGAUCAGAUUCUUGAAGAGGCAGAGGAGGGAAUCCAUGAAUUCUCUUGUAACUCUGAAAGUCCGCAUCUAAUAAAGGUGGACACAGACAAUCCAGUAGGAAAAAAUUCACUGUGAAUUAUGCCUAAUAUAUAUAUCUGCUAACACCUUUCUUCAGAUCAUGCUCUAGUGUCUAAGUUUACUUUCUAAUUCACAAAUCCAAGUGCACCACUUCAUUGCUAAAGUCAACAACCAUCCCCUUUUAUAGUUCUCUGUGGUCCACCCUGACUACAAAACCUUUGCAAUCAAACCUUCCUCUUUCCCUUGGACCCCAUCCCUUACCAUUCCCCUUAUCUCAGAGCAUGACAUAAACUUGGAUGCCACCUAUAUCAGCUAGCUAUUGCAGUAAAACAAAUGACCCCCAAACAUAGUGGCUUACAACAAUAAACAUUUCAGAAUCCAGAAGUGGUUAGCUGUGUGGCUCUGGCUUGAGGUCUCUGGGGAGGUUACAGGAAAGAUGUCAGGCAGGUCUCAGCUAUCUGAACACUUGGCUGGGCUGGGGAAUCUGCUUCCAAGAUGGCGCUCUCACAUGUUUCCGGUUAUUGUCUUCAAGUUCUUCUUCAGGGGGGCUUCUCCAUGGGCUGCUUGAGCAUCAUUACAACAUGUGGACUGACUUCCCCCAGAGUGUGAAAUCCAAGAGGCACCAAGACAGAAGCCAUGAUAUUUUUGAUAGCCUAGCCUUGGAAACACACACAAUCAUUUU